CGUGGGAGAAAUACAUGAAGAGGUAUGCAGGUAACAAGGAGUUUAGAAGGUCUUGCAUUGGUGGUGUUCCUAUUUGGUACAAUGAUCAAAUAUGCAAAGACAUUGGUUCUUCUCCAAGAAGAAAGAAGGGCUUUUUCUCAGAGUUGUUUGAGCCUUAUUAUGCCACAGACUACCGCAGGCUAUAAAGCAUAUGUCUAUGUUGGACUGUUAUUGACACUUGUGUUGAUAUUGGUUGGUAUAAUAGUAUUAUAGUAUAUGUACGACGCAUAAUUGCAUGAAUGUUAUUGAAAUAAGAGUAUAAAAUACACAUCUUUAUUGCAUAAUAAUUCGACCGUCUGUUUCUUUCAUGUGUUAGUGUUAUUGUCUUACUCAAGAGUCAAAAGGUUGGCAGAUAGAGCGGGCUACGAGUAGCUAAUUCAGGAAGUAAUCCAUUAUAUAUUUAUAGCAAUUAUUAUUGCUAUAAUAAUUAAUAACUGUAUCAUUUUUUCUGUUCCUAGAAAUUUCUAGAUUUUAUACUUUAGUUAAUUUAUCGAGGGUCAAUUGUUUUUUUUUCUUUUUUUCAUAUAUAUAAAUAAAAUUAAAGGCUACGUGAAACGUGAUGGUGGAAUCAAACUUAAGACGUUUGGUAUUGAACUUUUACAUGCACACCACGAAAGCCAACUACUAAUUAUUGUGGAGUUGUACUGUUCGAACAAUAAAUAAUAAUUUUUUACUUUAAUAUAUAACAUAUAGUAUACAGAAUGGUACCUUGUAAUAAAAUAUGGAAUAUAUUGAAAAAAUAUAUUUCUUCAGAAAUAAAAUAAAAUCAUGUGAGUUGUAUAUAAAAUCAGAUAGUUUCAUUGAGUUAAAUAAUACACCAUCCCUUUGCAAAAAUAAUGUUUUGCUAUUUUAAGCGUCCGUGAAAAGUAUGUCACCUCAUAUUUUUUUUCCUUAUUAUUUAUCCUUAUAAUUAUCUUUUAUUUACAAAAAUUCAAACAUUUAUUCAAUCUCAACCACUCAUUUCAUAUAAUGGUUGUACUAUAUAAAAAUUAGGGUAAAUUGCAUGAAAAUACUCGACCUUAUACCGAAAUUUGGUUUUUUGACGGGUAACAACAUUUAUCAACAUGUCUUCGUGGAAUUUUCUCUAAUUUUAAGUGUUUUGUUAUUCAAAUUAUCUGGGUAUGGUAUGAGUAACAUACAUUCUUGACGGGUACGAAUAUUUUAUCAACAUGUUUACCUAAAUUGUUUUUUUCUAAUUUAUAAUCUCUUAAUUUUGUAUAUGUAUGUUUAUUCUUCGAUAUUCGAGUCUUUAUUGAGACGGAUAACUAAUUAUUGUGAUAAAUUAUAUUUAUAAAUGUAAAUGUAUGGAUAUUUAACACAUAUUACUAUACAUUUUUGUGAUGAGAACAAAUAGUAAAAUCGUUAUUUACAUAGUAAAUUUAUUACUUUGAUAUAAAUAUUAUUUUAUUUAUUAUAAUUAUAAAUAUAAUUAAAAUAAUUACCCGUCGAAUUUUGACGGGUUACACACUAGUUAUACUACAUACAUUUUGUUGAUACGUGUAUAUUAAUUGACGAUUGACAUCACUCGAGUAAUCUUUAAUUCUACGUUGGUUUUAGAUUUUAAUUAGAGUUGGUUGAUAUUGCAGGAAGAGAUAAUCCGUGCACAAUGAUCCAUAGAAGAAUCCAUUGGAUGCUGCCCCACGACGCGCAGCCAUGGGGCUUGAGUUUAGGUUUUCUGUGCUUCACUCGCUUUGCUGAGCUCAUGGUUCACAAACCCGGCGAGGGCUUCUUGUCCAGCGCCGCCGCCGCCUCCCUCACCCCGCUCGUAAUUACUUUUUACUCUACCUAUAUAUAUGCAUGUCCAGAAAUUUAUCUCACACUUUUUUAAUUAAUUUCCACGUUUUAGCGGUGGGUUGUGAACAAGCUGGUGGAAAGCUAUCUUAAAUGGCGACUUCCCAUCACAAAAUACGAUAUGGUUCCGACGGAAAGCUUCGUCGGAGAAGCCUCCUCUUGCCAGAUACUUUUCCUGCAGCCUAACUUCUACGACAGAGUUGAAGAUGGGAGCAUUGUGAUGAGGAAAUCGCAGAAUUUCACCUUCUGCAAAGAGGGUCUAAUCCUCGACGGAGAAGAUCACGUCCCGUUGCAAGCCGACGUCGUCAUCUUUGCAACGGGAUAUAAAGGCGAUGAGAAGCUCAAGAACAUGUUCGCUUCCCCCACCUUUCAAAACUACGUUUUUGGAUCUCCAACCUCCAUUAUCCCUCUCUACAGGUAUAAAUUACUUCUCUACUUCAAUGUUGUAAGUAAUAAUAUAUUCUUCAAAUAAUUAAAUAUUGUUUUUAAUUGCAGACAGAUGAUUCAUCCAAGAAUCCCACAGCUGGCUGUGAUAGGCUACUCGGAGUCGCUGUCGAAUAUUUUCACAUUCGAAAUGAGGUGCAAAUGGCUGUCGCAUUUUCUGGAUGGGGGAUUCACGCUGCCGAGCAUGGGAGCGAUGGAGAAGGAGGUGGAGGCGUGGGAGAAAUACAUGAAGAGGUAUGCAGGUAACAAGGAGUUUAGAAGGUCUUGCAUUGGUGGUGUUCCUAUUUUUUUUUUUUUUUUUGAUGAAAUUAAAUUAUAAAUAAUACAAACCACACACACCCCACCUAGUGGUUAUUGUGGCCGAGAGUAUUCAAACCUGUGACCUCUUGGACAACAGGCAACCACCCCAACCACUAGGCCAUCCCAAGGGGACAGUGGUGUUCCUAUUUGGUACAAUGAUCAAAUAUGCAGAGACAUCGGUUCUUCUCCAAGAAGAAAGAAGGGCUUUUUCUCAGAGUUGUUUCAGCCUUAUGGCCCCAUAGACUAUCACGGGAUUUAAUUUCUUUCACUUUUUCUGUAUUGUUAUGUUUAACUACUGCUUCCAAUGUCAUGUGCGCACGUGGUUUCAUCGACAUCACAUAUAUCAAGUGAUUAAAUUCAACUUUGGUCGACAUCA
rnacentral:lncRNA from 1 species